ACGGCUAGAUCACGUUAAAACACUGGUUCCUGUACGAUCACCGAAGUUAAGCAACGUUGAGCCUGGUCAGUACCUAAAUGAGUGACCGCUUGGAAAUACAAGGUACUGUAAG